AGACGGCAAGGGAAAACUAGACGAAUAAUAAUGGAUUCCUAUAAAUCCCUUCCACCUGACCGUAGAGAGGAAUUCGAGAUAUACGCACAAAAUAUUCUCAGACAUUCAAGAGUUGGAUUUAAACCAAGAUCUAAUCGAGGAACCAGGGUUAUUCAUCAACAAGACUGGCAAACCUGAAAGUAGAAAUCCCAAAUUGUACAAAAUGUUUAAAUAAAUACAAAAUGUAAUAUUA